rnacentral:rRNA from 2 species
UGUGGCAAGUUGGUAAGGGCGCAUGGUGGAUGCCUUGGCAUCGAGAGCCGAUGAAGGACGUGGGAGCCUGCGAUAUGCCCUGGGGAGUUGGCAACCGAGCGUUGAUCCGGGGAUGUCCGAAUGGGGAAACCCAGCUGGAGUUGUGUCCAGUUACCUGCACCUGAAUGAAAUAGGGUGUGUGGAGGGAACGUCGGGAAGUGAAACAUCUCAGUACCGGCAGGAAGAGAAAACAAUAGUGAUUCCGAGAGUAGUGGCGAGCGAAAUCGGAUCAGGCUAAACCUCAUAUGUGUGAUACUCGGCAGGGGUUGCAUAUGGGGGGUCGUGGGACCGGUCUUGUCCAUGCUGCCGUGUGGGCGCAGAGUUAGAAAUCAUAUCUGAGGUCGAAGUCCGUUGGAAAGCGGUGCCGGAGCGGGUGAUAGCCCCGUAGACGUAAGGGUGUGACUCUGUUGGUCGGUUUCCCAAGUAACAUGCCACUCCUGGAAUGGUGUGUGAAUCUGGCGGGACCACCCGUUAAGCCUAAAUACUUCUCGAUGACCGAUAGCGGACCAGUACCGUGAGGGAAAGGUGAAAAGUACCCCUGGCGGGGAGUGAAAUAGUACCUGAAACCGUGCGCCUACAAUCCGUCAAAGCCUGUCACCUUGUGUGGCGGUGAUGGCGUGCCUUUUGAAGAAUGAGCCUGCGAGUUAGCGGUGUGUGGCGAGGUUAACCCGUGUGGGGUAGCCGUAGCGAAAGCGAGUCCGAACAGGGCGUAUCCCUUGUGGAGUAGUCGCAUGCUCUAGACCCGAAGCGGAGUGAUCUAUCCAUGGGCAGGUUGAAGCGCCGGUAAGACGGCGUGGAGGACCGAACCCACUUCAGUUGAAAAUGGAGGGGAUGACCUGUGGAUAGGGGUGAAAGGCCAAUCAAACUCCGUGAUAGCUGGUUCUCCCCGAAAUGCAUUUAGGUGCAGCGUUGCGUGUUUCUUGCUACCGGAGGUAGAGCACUGGAUAGCCGAUGGGCCCGACCAGGUUACUGACGUUAGCCAAACUCCGAAUGCCGGUAAGUGAGAGCGUGGCAGUGAGACUGCGGGCGAUAAGGUUCGUAGUCGAGAGGGAAACAGCCCAGACCAUCGGCUAAGGCCCCCAAGGGGCGGCUAAGUGGAAAAGGAUGUGGAGUCGCAGUGACAACCAGGAGGUUGGCUUGGAAGCAGCCAUCCUUGAAAGAGUGCGUAAUAGCUCACUGGUCAAGUGAUUCCGCGCCGACAAUGUAGCGGGGCUCAAGCCGUCCGCCGAAGCCAUGGCAUCCGUACAUCAACCCAAGCCGGCGCCUUCGUGGUGCUUGGUUCAGGGGUGCGGGUGGGUAGGGGAGCGUCGUGUCACGGGUGAAGCUGCGGGGUGACCCAGUGGUGGAUGUGACACGAGUGAGAAUGCAGGCAUGAGUAGCGAAUCACGGGUGAGAAACCCGUGCGCCGAAUGAUCAAGGGUUCCAGGGUCAAGCUAAUCUGCCCUGGGUAAGUCGGGACCUAAGGCGAGGCCGACAGGCGUAGUCGAUGGACAACGGGUUGAUAUUCCCGUACCGGCGAAAUGGCGCCCAUGACGAGCCCGGUGAUGCUAACCACCCAAAGCACCUCUUAUCGAUCCCUUCGGGGUGAGAGGGGGGUGUGGAGCGUGGGAUCCGAUCCGGUAGUAGUCAAGCGAUGGGGUGACACAGGAAGGUAGCCCAACCACGCCGAUGGUCGAGCGUGGGUAAGCAUGUAGGACGUGGCCUAGGCAAAUCCGGGUCGCAGCCGCGAGGCGAGUCUGAGAUGUGAUGCCGACCCCUGAUGGGGGAAGUGGGUGAUCCUAUGCUGUCGAGAAAAACCUCUAGCGAGCCAUGAGCCGCCCGUACCCCAAACCGACUCAGGUGAUCAGGUAGAGAAUACCAAGGCGAUCGAGACAACCAUGGUUAAGGAACUCGGCAAAAUGCCCCCGUAACUUCGGGAGAAGGGGGACCCGGAUCGUGUACCCACUUGCUGGGGAAGCGUGAAGGGUCGCAGAGACCAGGCCCAAGCGACUGUUUACUAAAAACACAGGUCCGUGCGAAGUCGUAAGACGAUGUAUACGGACUGACUCCUGCCCGGUGCUGGAAGGUUAAGAGGACCGGUUAGACACCCUCUACUUGUAUGGUGUCGAAGCUGAGAAUUUAAGCCCCAGUAAACGGCGGUGGUAACUAUAACCAUCCUAAGGUAGCGAAAUUCCUUGUCGGGUAAGUUCCGACCUGCACGAAUGGAGUAACGACUUGGGCGCUGUCUCAACCAUGGACUCGGCGAAAUUGCACUACGAGUAAAGAUGCUCGUUACGCGCGGCAGGACGGAAAGACCCCGGGACCUUUACUAUAGUUUGGCAUUGGUGUUUGGUUCGGCUUGUGUAGGAUAGGUGGGAGACUGUGAAGCAGCCACGCCAGUGGUUGUGGAGUCAUCGUUGAAAUACCACUCUGGUCGUACUAGAUGUCUAACCUAGGGCCAUGAUCUGGUUCAGGGACAGUGCCUGAUGGGUAGUUUAACUGGGGCGGUUGCCUCCCAAAAUGUAACGGAGGCGCUCAAAGGUUCCCUCAGCCUGGUUGGCAAUCAGGUGGCGAGUGUAAGUGCACAAGGGAGCUUGACUGUGAGACAGACAUGUCGAGCAGGGACGAAAGUCGGAACUAGUGAUCCGGCACCACCAUGUGGAAGGGGUGUCGCUCAACGGAUAAAAGGUACCCCGGGGAUAACAGGCUGAUCUUCCCCAAGAGUCCAUAUCGACGGGAUGGUUUGGCACCUCGAUGUCGGCUCGUCGCAUCCUGGGGCUGGAGUAGGUCCCAAGGGUUGGGCUGUUCGCCCAUUAAAGCGGCACGCGAGCUGGGUUUAGAACGUCGUGAGACAGUUCGGUCCCUAUCCGCCGCGCGCGUAGGAAACUUGAGAAAGGCUGUCCCUAGUACGAGAGGACCGGGAUGGACGAACCUCUGGUGUGCCAGUUGUACCGCCAGGUGCAGGGCUGGUUAGCUACGUUCGGAAGUGAUAACCGCUGAACGCAUCUAAGCGGGAAGCACGUUUCAAGAUGAGGUUUCCCCACCCCUUUGAGGGUGUAAGGCCCCCAACAGACUAUUGGGUUGAUAGGCCGGAGGUGUACAGCAGCAAUGCCCAGCCGACCGGUACUAAUAGGCCGAACACUUGCCACACAA